CCGUUAUACUUUGGGCCAAAUAUACCCUUGAGUAUAACGGCGUGCCACGUGUCAAAAUCUCAGUGGCCAACUUAUUUCCCUCUUUUAUUUUUCAUCCGAAUGCCUACUCCUUCAGAUCCGACCCAAUUAAUUUAUUACCCGACCCGUAAAAUAACAUAUCAUACCCAUAGCCAAACCUAACCUGUAUAUCUAUAACGCCUCUCUCUCUCUCUCUAAAAAAAAAUACAGAUCUCUUCAACCUCCAUAGCAGAUCUAAAAAAAAAAACGCAGAUCUCUUCAAACUAAGCUUGGAAUUCUUCAUCCAAGAAUAAUUUAUACUCUUCCACUGAGGAUGGAUAUCCACUAUGGCAUGCUAUGUCGUCUCUUUCAAGACAAAGUUUGGUGCAGAUCCUACCAUACUUAGGCCCACAUAGAUGAAGCUCUGCGUGCUACGGAGCAACAGAUCAGAAGCAUGGAAAUGAAGCUGAAUUCUGCUUUUUCUGCCCACCAAAAAGAGAAGGAAGCAUGGGAAAUAAACAUUCAAAAUGUGGAAGAAACAUGGCGAUGCUGAAAACUGUGAUUUUUGAGAGUGGCAAGAUAAUUUUCUAGACAAUGCUAUAUUGGAAAUAAGUGAUUUGAAGGGUAAAUUGGAAGUGGCUACGGUGAAGAUGGACAAUUUAAGAGAGUCGUUGAAUGCGGUUAAGCUCGAAAGAGACAACUUGAAGAAAAAGGUGCAUAACUUGGAGGCUAUAAAUAACUCUCAAGUGAACAAAUCAAGGGAAUUGGAAGAGAAGAUGUUGAAGUUGAAGAUGUUUUUUAUGAUUUCAUUGUCCGUAUUAGUUGAAUUUUUUUGUUGCUAAUUUGGGAUGAAUUAUGCUUGGUCUAGUAAUAGAAGUGAAAGGCUUGUUUUGGUAGAUGACGAUGUGUAGGAGUAGAAGUGUUUGUUUAGGAGUUGAAGUCUUGGUAUGUAAGCUAGUUUGUUGUUGUUAUUGUAUGUGUAAACUUGCUAAUUUAGUGUUGCUAAUAAGAAAUCCAUUUUUUCUC